rnacentral:misc_RNA from 1 species
UUCAUGGUUUCAUCCUUUUGUGCUUGUGAUUUAUCCUAAGAUAAAUGUGGUUACUGGUGCAAAACGUUUGUAUGUGUGUAUGUACUUUGUGAAUAUCUUUUUUCCUUUUACCGCCAAUGACAAAAAUUUUUUUGUGGAAUUGAAUUCACGGUAGAUUGAGAUUAUAACAAUUAAAGCUACAAUUUAUUGAGCAAAAAUGGCAACAUUAGCAGAGCAAGCAUCAAAAUUGCUAGACUUUAAUCAGAAAUUGGACAUCACUCUGCUAGAUUAUAUAGUAGGAUGCAUGUAUGAUGGAAUGGGAGAACAGCAAAGAAUAGCACAAGAGGUGCUGACAACCCUCAAGGAACAUCCAGAUGCAUGGACAAGAGUUGAUACCAUUCUAGAAUAUUCGCAGAACCAACAAACGAAAUAUUAUGCAUUACAAAUAUUAGAACAAGUAAUAAAAACACGAUGGAAAGUACUUCCUCGCAAUCAAUGUGAAGGCAUAAAAAAAUACAUCGUAGGUUUGAUCAUUAAGACCAGCAGUGAUCCUCAGUCUAUGGAAGCUUCUAAAGUUUAUCUAAACAAACUUAAUAUGAUUCUUGUACAAGUGUUAAAGCGUGAAUGGCCAAAGAAUUGGGAAUCUUUUAUUGGUGAUAUUGUUGGUGCAAGUAAAACAAACGAGAGUUUGUGCCAAAAUAAUAUGGCCAUUUUAAAAUUAUUAUCUGAAGAAGUUUUUGACUUCUCAAGUGGUCAAAUGACACAAACAAAAGCAAAGCAUCUCAAGGAUACAAUGUGCAGUGAAUUUUCUCAAAUAUAUCAACUUUGUCAGUUUGUUUUGGAAAAUUCACCUAAUGUACCACUUGUAACUGUUACCCUAGAAACGUUACUGAGGUUUUUAAAUUGGAUUCCUCUUGGAUACAUCUUUGAAACAAAAUUGAUUACAACAUUAAUAUUCAAAUUUUUAAAUGUACCAAUAUUUCGUAAUGUAACGCUCAAGUGUCUUAUAGAAAUAGCUGCAGUUACUGUAACUAAUUAUGAUAACAUGUUUGUAAUACUAUUUGUGAACACAAUGCAACAACUAGAGCAAAUGUUACAUCCUAAUACAAAUAUUCGUGAUGCUUAUGCUUUUGGACAAGAUGAAGAACAAAAUUUUAUUCAAAAUCUAGCUAUGUUUCUAUGUACAUUUUUAAAAGAACAUGGUCCAUUAGUUGAAAAGAAAGAAUUCAAUGAUACACUAUUAAAAGCACUGCAUUAUCUUGUAUUAAUUUCGGAAGUUGAAGAAGUUGAAAUUUUUAAAAUUUGUCUUGAAUACUGGAAUGGAUUAGCUGCAAAUUUAUACAAAGACAAUCCAAUUAUGUCAGUAUCUCCAAUUUUAGGAGCUAAAAAAGAUGUGACAAUUCCCUCUCGACGAGCGUUUUACUGUCCGGUUCUAACUAAAGUUCGAUAUAUAAUGAUAAGUAGGAUGGCCAAACCAGAAGAAGUACUUGUUGUUGAAAACGAAAAUGGGGAAGUUGUUCGUGAAUUUAUGAAAGACACAGAUUCUAUUAAUUUGUAUAAAAAUAUGCGCGAGACAUUGGUUUACUUGACACAUCUUGAUUGUGCAGAUACUGAAAAAGUGAUGACAGAAAAACUUCAAAAUCAAGUUAACGGCUCUGAAUGGUCAUGGAAAAAUUUAAAUACGUUGUGUUGGGCUAUUGGUAGUAUUUCUGGAGCAAUGCAUGAAGAAGAUGAAAAACGAUUCCUGGUAACGGUUAUAAAAGAGUUGCUAGGUUUAUGUGAGCAAAAAAAGGGUAAAGAUAAUAAAGCAAUUAUAGCAAGUAAUAUUAUGUAUGUAGUCGGUCAGUAUCCUCGUUUUCUUCGUGCUCAUUGGAAAUUUUUAAAAACAGUAGUAAAUAAAUUAUUUGAGUUUAUGCAUGAGACACAUGAUGGUGUCCAAGAUAUGGCCUGCGAUACUUUUAUUAAAAUAGCUAUAAAAUGUCGUCGACAUUUUGUUACAAUUCAAGUUGGCGAAACAAUGCCGUUUAUUGAAGAAAUACUUUCUAGUAUAAGCAGUAUCAUUUGUGAUUUACAAACUCAACAAGUUCAUACAUUUUAUGAAGCUGUCGGAUAUAUGAUAAGUGCUCAGGUGGAUGAUAUAGCGCAAAAAGAAAGAAUUGAACGGUAUAUGUUACUUCCUAAUCGAGUUUGGGAUGAUAUUAUUAGUCAAGCUUCAAAAAAUGUAGAUGUUUUAAAAGAUCAAGAAGCUGUUAAGCAGCUCGGCAGUAUUCUCAAAACUAAUGUCAGAGCGUGCAAAGCUCUAGGACAUCCAUAUGUAAUGCAAUUAGGAAGAAUAUACUUAGAUAUGUUAAAUGUGUACAAGGUAAUGAGUGAAAAUAUAAGUGCUGCGAUAGCUUUGAAUGGUGAAGUGGUAAUGAAGCAACCAUUAAUUAAGAGUAUGAGAGUUGUGAAAAAAGAAACAUUAAAAUUAAUAUCUGAUUGGGUGAGCAGAUCUAAUGACCAUCAAAUGGUUUUAGAGAAUUUUAUACCACCUUUAUUAGAUGCCGUACUAUUGGAUUAUCAAAAAACUAAUGUUCCGUGUGCAAGAGAGCCAGAAGUUUUGAGUGCUAUGGCAACGAUUGUGAAUAAAUUACAGGGCCAUAUUACUAGUGAGGUUCCUAAAAUUUUUGACGCUGUAUUUGAAUGUACUCUUGAAAUGAUAAAUAAGGACUUUGAAGAAUUUCCUGAAUAUCGAACAAACUUUUUCUUAUUACUUCAAGCAGUAAAUGUAUACUGUUUCCCGGCAUUUUUAACAAUUCCACCAGCACAGUUUAAGCUGGUUCUUGAUUCUAUUAUUUGGGCAUUUAAACAUACUAUGAGAAACGUUGCUGAUACAGGUUUAGCGAUCUUGUAUCAAUUAUUACAAAAUAUUGAACAGCAUGAUCAAGCUGAGCAAAAUUUCUAUCAAACUUAUUUUACCGAAAUUUUACAACAUAUAUUCAGUGUAGUAACUGACACUUCACAUACUGCUGGUCUCACAAUGCACGCGACUAUUUUGGCAUACAUGUUUACAUUGGUGGAGUUAGGUAGAAUUCGCGUACCACUCGGCCCAAUACCUGACAACAGACUUUAUGUUCAAGAGUUUGUAGCGAGUUUAUUGAAGGCAGCUUUUCCACAUUUAACUGAUAAUCAGAUUAAGAUCACAGUUCAAGGAUUAUUCAAUUUAAAUCAAGAUAUUUCAGCUUUUAAAGAACAUUUGAGGGAUUUCCUUGUACAAAUUCGGGAAUAUACGGGAGAAGAUGAUUCAGACCUUUUCUUGGAAGAACGUGAAGCAGCUUUACGAUUUGCCCAAGAAGAAAAGAGAAGGCAGCAGAUGGCUGUUCCAGGUAUACUUAAUCCACAUGAGAUGCCAGAAGAGAUGCAGGACUGCUGAAUUUUCACCUAAUCUUAUACUUAUUUCAUUUUACGCAUGUUUGAAUGAAAGUGUAUGAAUCACUAUCUGAUUUUUGAACGAAAAGUAAGCCCGAAAUAAGCUCAUUGUACACGUCAGCAUUGUUUAUGAAGACAGAUUUCUCUCCAUGAAUUCAAUAAGUGUGCCUGAUUUCAUUGGCAUAAUUCCACAUAUUUCAUAAACAAUAAUUCUGAUAAGAAUAUUCUCAGUAAAUAUAUAGGAUAUAAAUAAUGAAUAAAUAAAUAAAAACAAAUCGAUACUAUUAUACAUGGUUAACUGCCAACAGAUGUUUUAUUUUUUUUGUGUGUAUAUGUUAAAUAAAUAAUUUUCAUAUUUUAUAAAAUUAAUUAGUAGAUGA